AUCAGGCUAAGUGAUACCACGUUCAACGCAAAACCUUUGUUUGGGUAAACACCCUCUUAAUCAAACUAAUUAACCAUCAAAAUUUCAAAACUAUGGCUUCUGCAUCUUUCUUCAUCCUUUGAAUUUACUCAUUCCACUAUACCUAUCCCCAUCUACCCUACCCAAGUACCCAACCAUCCCACUGAUCCUGACCACUACACUUCACCUUCCCCAUUCUUUCAACCUAAUUAAUAUUACACUUAGUACAUUGUUCUUUAAUAAAACAAGAUUGAGAUCCCAACAUAGAACUGGGUCUGUUUUUUUGGACAUGGUGGAGACGGUAACGACACCGUUUUGGUGGCGGUGUACACAAUUCCACCACCCGCGUCGAUGGUUACCGGCAGUUUUCAUAACCCACAAAGCCAUUAUCACUGCGCUAUGGAUCGCCUUUUUAAUAACCCUUUUCUGGUGGCAGAUGGAUUCUACUACUACCGGAAUCUUGAUUUUCCGGCGAGUUUUUCCGUCGAGGCAGCUGCCGAAGCUCCGGCAUGUGGCGUUUAACUUGACGGACUUUGGUGGGGUUGGUGAUGGUGUUACUGUAAAUACAGCAGCUUUUGAGAAGGCAGUAUUAGCAAUUUCUAGAAAAGGUGGAGGGCAGCUAAAUGUGCCACCUGGUUAUUGGCUAACGGCGCCGUUUAAUCUUACUAGCCAUAUGACUCUGUUCCUUGCUGAAGGUGCUGUUAUAUUGGGUGUUGAUGACGAGAAGUACUGGCCUCUCAUGCCUCCCUUACCUUCAUAUGGAUAUGGAAGAGAGCAUCGUGGACCGCGUUAUGGAAGUUUAAUCCACGGCCAAAAUCUCAAAGAUGUUGUAAUCACAGGGCAUAAUGGUACCAUUAAUGGGCAGGGUCAAGCAUGGUGGAAGAAAUUCCGGCAGAAGCUUCUUAACCAUACCAGAGGACCGCUCGUGCAGAUCAUGUGGUCUACUGACAUACUAAUCUCAAAUAUAACUUUACAAAACUCUCCCUUUUGGACGCUCCAUCCAUACGACUGCAAGAACGUAACGAUCAGGAAUGUCACAAUCCUGGCACCCAUUGCUGGGGCUCCAAAUACUGAUGGUAUAGAUCCAGAUUCUUGUGAAGAUGUGUUGAUAGAGAACUGUUACAUCAGUGUUGGUGAUGACGGCAUUGCCAUAAAGAGUGGAUGGGAUCAGUAUGGAAUUGCUUAUGGACGGCCUUCUAAGAAUAUACUCAUCCGAAACCUUGUUAUUCGUUCCAAUGUCAGCGCUGGUGUAUCAAUAGGGAGUGAGAUGUCCGGCGGAGUGUCAAAUGUCACUGUGGAAAAUGUCCUUAUCUGGAACUCGAGACGUGCUGUACGCAUCAAAACAGCGCCUGGAAGAGGAGGAUAUGUUCGAGAUAUAACGUACAGGAACUUGACAUUUGAGAAUGUUAGGGUGGGAAUCGUCAUCAAAACAGAUUACAACGAACAUGCAGACGAGAGGUUCGACCCCAAAGCUGUCCCUGUACUGAAGGACAUAAGCUACACAUCAAUCCACGGUGAGGGAGUUCGUGUGCCUGUUCAAAUCCACGGGAGUAAAGAAAUCCCUGUGAAGAACGUUACUUUCAGAGAUAUGUCAGUCGGGCUAUCAUACAAGAAGAAGCAUAUAUUCCAGUGUGCUUUCGUUCAAGGUCGUGUUAUUGGUACUAUCUUCCCCGCCCCUUGUGAGAACCUCGAUCUAUAUGACGAGCAAGGACAUCUGAUCAGACGUUCUGAUUCUCAAAAUGCGACAGACAUAGAUUAUGACAUUUGAAAUGGUUCCAUAUCCAUUUUCCAUGGUCAAAUUUCUCCCACUGCUCCUCACUUCAGUUAACUACCAUUGCCUUUCUUUUUUCUGAAUACAUAUUUGUCCCCUGCAUUAUACAUACAGAAAGAAGUCUGUUAAUGUAUUCAAAUCCACAGAUCCAAUGUGUCCAGUACCUGCUCUGGGGCCCGACUAAAUCUGGAUUCGCGCCGUGAAGUCCCACGUUGGGGGGUAAAGCGCUUCCUAACAAAGGCGACUUCAUACCCAGCGCUCGAACCUGAUAUCUCUGGUUAAGGAUGAAGGAGUACUUACCACUCCGCCACAACUCUUGUUGGUGUUUUUAACAUCUUUGUGGUAAUAUUAGUUUGGCUAUUAUUAAGUCAGUAGAGAGCAAUGUUUUUCUUAGGAGUAACCAAGAUUAUGAGCAAAGUUGAAAUUAUAAAUUUCUUAUUUUCUGGUA